GACGAUGUUCUCCAUGAAAGAUAUAGAUUCUCAGCUGAGGGAAUUCGUUACCUAUGCCAGCUGCUCGAGGCGGACGUCUCUAAUGUAACCCGCCGAAGUCAGGCCCUCACAAUCGAGCAAAUGUUAUGUCUUUCAUUGCGCUAUUUCGCCAGCGGACAAUAUAUGUAUUCCAUCGGUGAUGCUGAAAACCUGAGUAAGAACACUGUAUGCCGGGUGAUACGGAAGGUGGUACUUGCUCUCACUAAACUGGUGGAUGCAUUUGUUGUAUUCCCUGGCCAUUUGCCUGCACGUCAGAUAAAAGAAGGGUUCUAUGCAAUCGCUGGUUUCCCAAGAGUAAUUGGAGCCAUUGAUUGUACGCACAUUCCUAUCAGUGCACCCCUGGGAGAGCAUGAGCGGGAUUUUGUGAAUAGAAAGUCCAAACACACCAUCAAUGUCCAGAUGACAUGCGAUCACCACUAUAUGAUCACAAGCCUGGAUGCAAGGUGGCCAGGGUCAGUCCAUGACUCCCGUAUAUUCAGAGAAUCAUCACUGUCUGACAGAUUCCACCAAGGGCAAUUUGAUGGAAUCCUGCUGGGGGACCGUGGCUACGCAUGCAUGAAGUUCCUCAUCACACCAUUUCCUGAUCCACAAACAAGGCAACAGAGAUCAUUUAAUCAUGCACACAGUGUCACUAGGGCCAGGAUCGAAAUGACAUUUGGCAUAUUGAAGGCCCGAUUCGCCUGCCUGAAGGUCCUUCGGGUCAAGCCAGACAGGGCCUGCCAAACCAUAGCAGCAUGUGUGGUUCUUCAGAAUGUCGCCACAAUAAGGAAGGAAAGAGUGCCCCCUCAUGAUCCUCCCCCACCCCCUGAUAUUACUGAUCCAAUCACCCUGGAUCAUCCAACAGGCCGUGCUGUCAGGGAUGCCAUUACCAACCAGUUUUUCCAAUGAAUUGUACACACCACAAAUUAAAUGCACAAAAAUAAAGACAUGUCACACCAA